rnacentral:rRNA from 1 species
UUUGUUCUCUAAAUAGGGACCUGUAUGAAUGGCCACACGAGGGCUUUACUGUCUCUUACUUCCAAUCCGUGAAAUUGACCUUCCCGUGAAGAGGCGGGAAUAUAACAACAAGACGAGAAGACCCUAUGGAGCUUUAAUUAACCGACCCAAAGAGACCCCACCAAUCAACCGACAGGAACAACAAAUCUCUACAUGGGCCGACAAUUUAGGUUGGGGUGACCUCGGAGAAUAAAAUAACCUCCGAAUGAUUUAAAUCUAGACUAACCAGUCAAAAGUAUUGCAUCACUUAUUGAUCCAAAAACUUGAUCAACGGAACAAGUUACCCUAGGGAUAACAGCGCAAUCCUAUUUCAGAGUCCAUAUCGACAAUAGGG